UACGUAGGUCCCGAGCGUUGUCCGGAUUUAUUGGGCGUAAAGCGAGCGCAGGUGGUUUAUUAAGUCUGGUGUAAAAGGCAGUGGCUCAACCAUUGUAUGCAUUGGAAACUGGUAGACUUGAGUGCAGGAGAGGAGAGUGGAAUUCCAUGUGUAGCGGUGAAAUGCGUAGAUAUAUGGAGGAACACCGGUGGCGAAAGCGGCUUGCUGGGCUCUAACUGACGCUGAGGCUCGAAAGUGUGGGGAGCAAACAGG
rnacentral:rRNA from 1 species